rnacentral:rRNA from 1 species
ACGGGAGGCAGCAGUGGGGAAUUUUGGACAAUGGGCGCAAGCCUGAUCCAGCCAUGCCGCGUGCGGGAAGAAGGCCUUCGGGUUGUAAACCGCUUUUGUCAGGGAAGAAACGCACUGGGCUAAUACCCCGGUGUAAUGACGGUACCUGAAGAAUAAGCACCGGCUAACUACGUGCCAGCAGCCGCGGUAAUACGUAGGGUGCAAGCGUUAAUCGGAAUUACUGGGCGUAAAGCGUGCGCAGGCGGCUUUGCAAGACAGAUGUGAAAUCCCCGGGCUUAACCUGGGAACUGCAUUUGUGACUGCAUGGCUGGAGUGCGGCAGAGGGGGAUGGAAUUCCGCGUGUAGCAGUGAAAUGCGUAGAUAUGCGGAGGAACACCGAUGGCGAAGGCAAUCCCCUGGGCCUGCACUGACGCUCAUGCACGAAAGCGUGGGGAGCAAACAGGAUUAGAUACCCUGGUA